GAGGAUGCGAGCGUUAUCCAGAUUUAUUGGGUUUAAAGGGUGCGUAGGCCGGCUGUUAAGUCAGCGGUAAAAUUGAGAGGCUUAACCUCUUCGAGCCGUUGAAACUGGCGGUCUUGAGUGGGCGAGAAGUAUGCGGAAUGCGUGGUGUAGCGGUGAAAUGCAUAGAUAUCACGCAGAACUCCGAUUGCGAAGGCAGCAUACCGGCGCCCUACUGACGCUGAAGCACGAAAGCGUGGGUAUCGAA
rnacentral:rRNA from 1 species